rnacentral:lncRNA from 1 species
UUGAUACGUGGGGAUUAUGGGGAUUACAAUUCAAGAUGAAAUUUUGAAUGGGGACACAGCCAAACCAUAUCAGUCAACAAUAUAGAGGCAGAGAUCUUAAAGACUUAGACUAUUGGACUUUCAACUUUUGGAACCUCCAAAAGCCAGGUGAAAACAGCAACAGGAUCGGAAGCCAAAGUGAAAGCUGAAGACUGUGCAGAUGAACAAGACACCAAAAUCUGAGACAUCAAUCUUCUGCAUUUGAACUCAGACUCAGACUGAGACUUACAACAUUGGCUCUCCUGGUUCUCAGGCCUUCAGACUCAGACUGAAACUUGCACUUAUCUCCUCUAAGAUGAAUGAGUUCUUGCAUCUGGCCCUUCUUACAACAACAACAAAAAAAAAGAGACACAAUACCUAGUAGGCCUUUUUCAGUUUUGGAGGCAACAUAGUCUUCAUUUGGAGGCAUUACUCCGUCCCACUUACCAGCUAAUCCAAAAAGCUUCUAGUUUUUUUUCUUUUUCUUUCUUUGUUUUGAGGCAAGGUCUCACUCUGUUGCCCAUGCUGGAGUACAAUAGCGCAAUCAUGGCUCAUUGCAGCCUCAACCUUCCAGGCUCAAGUGAUCCUCCUACCUCAGUCUCCUGAGUAGCUAGAACCACAGGUGGGUGCCACCAAGCCUGGAUUUUUUUUUUUUUUUUUUUGCCUGUAGAUAUGGGGUCUCCCUAUGUUGCCCAGGCUGGUCUCAAACUCCUGGACUCAAGAGACCUCCCACCUCAGCCUCCCAAAGUCCUGGGAUUACAGAUGUGAGCCACUGUGCCCACCCAGCUGCUAGUUUUGAGUGUGACCCAAAAUAAGAGAAGGCUCUGCAAGAGAUCCAGUCUGACAUGCAUCUACUCUGUCACUUGGUCCAUAGGAUUCAGCAGAUCCAGUGCUGCUUACGGUGUCAGUUUUCAAUUAGGGUGCUGUUUGGAGCCUUUGACAGGCCUAGGUGAGUCACAGCCCAGGUCCAUAGGAUUUUGGAGCAAAGCCCUGCCAUUAUCUACAGAUAACUACUCUCUUUUUAAGAAAUAGUUCUUGGCCUGUUACUGAACCUUAGUAGAAACUGAAUGUUUAACCAUGGAUCACCAAGUUACCAGGUAACCUGAGCUGCCCAUCAUGAACUGGGUGUUAUCUGACCCACCAAGCCAUAAGGUUGGGCAUGCAUAGCAGCACUCCAUCAUUGAAUGGAAGCAAUAUAUACAUGACUUGUCCCAAGCAGGCCCUGAAGGCACAAGUAAGCUACAUGAAAUGCCUGUGGUCCCCACAGCUGCUACGCUGCCUUCUUUCUCCCAGUCUCACCUGUGGCCUUAUGGGGAGUUCCCUACAAUCAAUUGACAGAGAAACAGAAGAUUUGGGCCUGGUUCCGCACAAUAUACUUGAAAGUAGACAGCAAUAGCACUUCAGCCCCUUUCUGAGACAUUCCUGGAGGACAUUGGUGAAUAGAAAUCUUCCCAGUGACCAGAAUUUUGAGCAGUGCACAUGGUUGCUCACUCUGCUAGGAAGGAGAAAUGACCAGAUGUGCAAUAAUAUGCCAAUAUAUGGGCUAUUGGCAAUGGUUUGCCUGGAUGGUAAGGGAUUGGAAGGAACAUGAUUGGAAAAUUGUUGGCAAGGGAAUGUGGGGAAGAAGUACAUGGAUAGACCUAUCUGAAUGGGCAAAAAUUGUGAAGAUGUUUGUGUCCUAUGUGAAUGCUCACCAAAGGUUGACCUCAGCAGAGGAAGAUUUUAAUCAAGUGCAUAGGAUGAUCUAUUCCAUAGAGAUCAGUGAGCCUCUUUCCUCAGUCACCCCAUCAUUGCCCAAUGGGCUCAUGAACAAAGUGGCCAGGGUGGCAAGAAAGAAGGCUAUGAAUGGGCUCAGCAACAUGGACUUCCACUCAACAAGGUCAACCUAGCUAUGACCACUGCUAUGUGCCCGAUAUUCCAGUAGCAGAGACCAACACUGAGCUCCCAAUAUGGCACCAUUCCCGAGGCUAAUCAGCCAGCUACCUGAUGGCAGGUUGAUUACAUUGGCGUGCUUUCAUCAUGAAAAGCUGGGACAUCUAUCUUCUCCUGCCUUCACACUCAGACUCAGAUUGGAUCUUACACUAUUGGCCUUCCUGGUUCUCAGGUCAAAAUACAACUAUACCAUCAGCAAUCCUGAAUCUCCAGCUUGCUGACUGUAAAUCUUAGGACUUCUCAGCUUUCACAACCAGAACCCAGACUAAUACAAGAACCAAAUCUACGUCCAAGGCAAGGCAACGUAGUAAAGCAAGAAAUCAUCAGAACCUGGCUUGGGACUGAAGUGGAAGAAGAAGGGCUGUUCAUUGGCAAGAAUCAAAUCUGAGUCUUAUAUGGGAGGCACAAGCUGAUGAGAGUAGGUUGGGAAGGUGAGAUUUGGUGAGAUAGCCUGAAGCAACUGCACUCAUCAAAGAGCUUUUAUGAAGAAUUGGCUUCUGUGCCUGUGGGAUAGUAGAGACCUUUAAAAGGCAGUCUGGACAAAAACAUGAGAAUUGUUUCUAUAAGGAAGGAAGGAAGAAAGGAAGGGAGGGAGGGAGUGGGGAAGGGAGGAAGGAAAGGGAAGGAGGGUUACUGCGAUAUCAACAGCACAUCUGAAUUAUCUGUCAUUAGAUAGCUAGCUGUCUAAUGAUAGAUAAUUAGAUAGCUAUCAUUACUAGCUAUCUAAUAAGAUGUGGAGAAAAACUAAAAUUGUUGCUUAUUACUUCACAUUCUGCCAAUAAG